GACGUAGGGCGCGAGCGUUGUCCGGAUUUAUUGGGCGUAAAGAGCUCGUAGGCGGCUUGUCGCGUCGACUGUGAAAACCCGCGGCUCAACCGCGGGACUGCAGCCGAUACGGGCAGGCUAGAGUUCGGUAGGGGAGACUGGAAUUCCUGGUGUAGCGGUGAAAUGCGCAGAUAUCCGGAAGAACACCGAUGGCGAAGGCAACCCCCUGGGCCUGUACUGACGCUGAGGUACGAAAGCGUGGGGAGCAAACAGG
rnacentral:rRNA from 1 species